UGAGGAAUAUUGGUCAAUGGACGGAAGUCUGAACCAGCCAUGCCGCGUGAAGGAUGAAGGCGUUCUGCGUUGUAAACUUCUUUUAUCUGGGAAGAAACCACAGAUUUCUAUUUGUGUUGGCGGUACCAGAGGAAUAAGCACCGGCUAACUCCGUGCCAGCAGCCGCGGUAAUCCGGAGGGUGCGAGCGUUAUCCGGAUUUACUGGGUUUAAAGGGUGCGUAGGCGGGCUAUUAAGUCAGAGGUGAAAUCUCCGGGCUCAACCUGGAAACUGCCUUUGNUACUAUUAGCCUUGAAUUAUGUUGAGGUUGGCUGAAUAUAACAUGUAGCGGUGAAAUGCUUAGAUAUGUUAUGGAACACCGAUUGCGAAGCCAGCUGGCUAAACAUAUAUUGACGCUGAUGCACGAAAGCGUGGGUAGCGAACA
rnacentral:rRNA from 1 species